AUGAGGGGUGAGGCUAAAAGGCUAAAGAAGAGAAGAAAUGUGUCUGGUCAUACGACUAAACCUACCAAGAAAGACCCGUUGCAGCGCAUGCAUGCUAAGCUUGCUUCAUCUGACAAUGUGGACUUUGUUAAAGCACCUGCUGCCACUAGUUCUCAUGCAGCAGUCAAGUUGUUGUCAUCUGUUGCUGCCGUGUUGACCGGCAACGAAGGUGUAGCAUCAGGGGGCUCUGAUGAAUUGAUGUCCCCAAGAUCACCUGACGUUGCGCCGGCAUUGGUAUCGAUGAGUCAAGGGCUCGAAGGUAGCCCACUACUGUCUGAUCCUCUGCACCAACCACACCAGCCUAAGGUGAAUGCGCCAAACUCCACUGUUGAUACGUCUGAGAAACCUCAGUCAGUAGGUAAAGAUUGCACGAGUUUGGCCGCCUCAACUGCUGUUCAAAACAAGGGUCCGGCAGUCACGCAACAAGGACAUCAGGCUGGCCCGCAUGAUCGUGCUGCUCAUCCGCACACUGUUUCCAAAGCUGGUCCACACGUUACUGACAAGAAAUCAACUAAACAGGCAGUCGGUACCAGGAAGAGCCCUCGGAACAAAGCUGAUUAG
rnacentral:rRNA from 1 species